AUUGAACGCUGGCGGCAUGCCUUACACAUGCAAGUCGAACGGCAGCACGGGAGCAAUCCUGGUGGCGAGUGGCGAACGGGUGAGUAAUGUAUCGGAACGUGCCCAGUCGUGGGGGAUAACGUAGCGAAAGCUACGCUAAUACCGCAUACGAUCUAUGGAUGAACGCGGGGGAUCGCAAGACCCCGCGCGACUGGAGUGGCCGAUAUCAGAUUAGGUAGUUGGUGAGGUAAAGGCUCACCAAGCCGACGAUCUGUAGCUGGUCUGAGAGGACGACCAGCCACACUGGGACUGAGACACGGCCCAGACUCCUACGGGAGGCAGCAGUGGGGAAUUUUGGACAAUGGGCGCAAGCCUGAUCCAGCAAUGCCGCGUGCAGGAUGAAGGCCUUCGGGUUGUAAACUGCUUUUGUACGGAGCGAAAAGGCUCUCUCUAAUACAGGGGGCUCAUGACGGUACCGUAAGAAUAAGCACCGGCUAACUACGUGCCAGCCGCCGCCGUAAUAC
rnacentral:rRNA from 1 species